rnacentral:rRNA from 1 species
AUUGAACGCUGGCGGCAGGCCUAACACAUGCAAGUCGAACGGUUACAUGAAACAGCUUGCUGUUUCGCUGACGAGAGGCGGACGGGUGGGCAAUGUCGGGGAAACUGCGUGAUGGAGGGGGCUGACUACUGGAAACGGUAGCUACUACCGCAUAUAGCGGCAAGACGAUAGAGGGGGACGCCCGGAGCUCUUGCGAUCCUAUGGGCCCAGGUGGGAGUAGCUUGUUGGUGUGGUAACGGCUCACCAAGGCGACGAUCCCUAGCAGGGCUGAGAGGAUGAGCGGCCACACUGGAACUGAGACACGGUCCAGACUCCUACGGGAGGCAGCAGUGGGGAAUCUUCGACAAAGGGCGCAAGCCUGAUGGAGCCAUGCCGCGUGUAUGAAGAAGGUCUUCGGGUUGUAAAAUUCUUUUGUCGGGGAAGAAGGGAGUCAUGAUUAUCCCUACGCUCAUUGACGUUACCCACACAAGAAGCCCCGGCUAACUCCGUG